rfam:Felis catus isolate Cinnamon breed Abyssinian chromosome B2, whole genome shotgun sequence.
GCCUGGAUGGCUCAGUCGGUUGAGCAUCUGACUUCGGCUCAGGUCAGGAUCAUGUGGGUCGUGGGUUCGAGCCCCACUUUGGGCU